UUCGCAACCUUCCUCCUCAUCUUCUUCACAUCUUCCCUUCGCAACUCUUCCGUGUAGCAGCUCUGUGAACCUUCCUCCUUAUCCUCUUCCGUGUAGCAUCUUCAGAUCUGCAUCUCCGCUCCAGGAAGGGGAGGUCGAUCUUAUUGAGAGCAAACAGGUUAUAUUUCUGGUUAUGCAUUCACUUUGGAAACCUUCGCUGUUUUCUAAUUCCUAUUCAUCUUUGUACUCAUUGAUUUUCUUUCUUUGUAAAAAAAUUUCUUUGUAAUUUGAUGGCAUUACAGUGAAAACCAAUUGUUCAAAUGUUUUUUAUUUCUUCUCUGUUUAAGUAACAAGUUUGAUUAUUAUUCUUUGCUUUGCUUUGUGAGUUUGUACAUAUUCUGCCUCUGUAGUGCAGUACCACUAACACUUCAAAUAUUCUGGCUUUCUGGUAAUGAUAAAAUUCUGGCAAUGUCGAUCAACACCACGGGUUGUCUUUGGACUGAGAUAUGAAAGCGUUUUUCAUGAAAAACAAAGGCGAAGGCUUUGUUUGGUAUCUAAGAUUAUAAUAGAAUGAAUUGAAUAACUCUUUAGAUAAACAAGUGGAUACUUGAUGUAAGCUGUAGG
rnacentral:sRNA from 1 species